GAAUAUUGGACAAUGGGCGCAAGCCUGAUCCAGCAACGCCGCGUGGAGGACGAAGGUCUUCGGAUCGUAAACUCCUGUCAGGCGGGACGAAGAGCCGGAGGCAAAUAGCUUUCGGCUUUGACGGUACCGCCCGAGGAAGCCCCGGCUAACUCCGUUCCCGCAGCCGCGGUAAUACGGGGGGGGCGAGCGUUAUUCGGAAUUAUUGGGCGUAAAGGGCGCGUAGGCGGCCUGGUGUGUCAAAGGUGAAAUCCCUCGGCUCAACUGAGGAAUUGCCUUUGAAACUACCAGGCUUGAGGCCGGGAGGGGGUAGCGGAAUUCCCAGUGUAGCGGUGAAAUGCGUAGAUAUUGGGAGGAACACCAGUGGCGAAGGCGGCUACCUGGACCGGUUCUGACGCUGAUGCGCGAAAGCGUGGGGAGCAAACAGG
rnacentral:rRNA from 1 species